UACGAAGGGGGCUAGCGUUGCUCGGAAUCACUGGGCGUAAAGGGUGCGUAGGCGGGUCUUUAAGUCAGGGGUGAAAUCCUGGAAGCUCAACUCCAGAACUGCCUUUGAUACUGAAGAUCUUGAGUUCGGGAGAGGUGAGUGGAACUGCGAGUGUAGAGGUGAAAUUCGUAGAUAUUCGCAAGAACACCAGUGGCGAAGGCGGCUCACUGGCCCGAUACUGACGCUGAGGCACGAAAGCGUGGGAGCAACAGGAUAGAUACC
rnacentral:rRNA from 1 species